AAAACUGGGCAGUAUUUUUGUGCAUAUGUGAUAUGCAAACUAUUUAUCUGUCUGUGGAGGAACACUAUAAUGUGGUCGCGAUCCUCAUCAGUGAGGGACCGAGGAACAAAGAUUAAGAAACUAUUUAUGUAUGAUACCUAUCUGUUUAAGUGUUCUUUGAAUCAAUUUAUUUGUUAUUCUUUAUCACAUCAAACGAUAUAAUAUUAUUAUAAACAAUUUAGCAGGCAAGUACUUUCCAAGUCUUAUCAUUGUUACUGUAAAAGCUUAAAACUGGACAUUGGAAACUGAUAGGUUACCUUGUUUAUGCUAAACAAAGCAGGUAGCUAUUUGACUGCACCUGAUGUUAAUGCAGUCUAGGAUGGUACCUACAUACCUACCCUGUAAGUGGCUAUUCACUCUAGCCUUAAAGAGGGCCGGAUUAUAGUCGGGAAAGGCAGUGAAUGCCAGUCCCUAGAUGGUCGUAUUAUAAAAAGAGUUAGCGAAGCGCUUAGUGCGAGCUGGUGGAUUGUCGACAAUGCAAAGAUGGUACGCUAACUUGCGUCUGGUUCCCCGGUGAUGGAAGAUAGGUCCCUACUUACCUACAUCCUCAUUCCUCAAUCAAUAUUCCUUGUUUUCCGCCAAUCCACUACGUCAACCUCCUGGUGAUGAGUCUUAUGCCCGUUUUCACCAUCAAUCCCUAAUAAGUGACCCCUAUGGUAACACAACAUGAAUUUUGUUUUCAAUUUGGCCACAUAAAAAUUAGGGAUUGAUAGUGAAAACGGGUUCUUGGACAGGCUACUAAUUUUACUGCACAAAAAAUAUUCUGUAAUUUUAAGUAAUCAUUCUGUUGGCCAUUUAUUGUGUCCAGUUAACGGAUUGGCGUAUUGACUGUGACAUAAAUAAACCGCGAUAAGAUAAACAUAUUAUGAAUACAGUAUUUUGUGGUAUUACUUACAUUUGUGCGCAUCGGUUCGUACGUAACAGUCGCUGGAUUAAAGAACUGUCUGAUAUCAUCUUCAAUACAAUGUGGUUACGGAAUUCAUGAAAUUUCUUUCAUUGCAAAUAAAACUGACAAAAAAUUUGAACAAUAACGAUAAUGGAUCAAAUCACGGAAAAUCUUUUUACAUCGUUGCGCUCAAAGAAAGGCGAGGACGAAAAAUAUCAAGAGGUGCUCGGAUAUUUAGACAGCGGAGCCAAUCCUAAUGCCGCUGAUCCUAAAAGGAAGGAUAACAGACCCUUGCACAUAGCUGUGCAAAAUAGUGAUUCAAAAAUCGUUGAACUCUUACUUGACAGGGGAGCUGACGUGACUUUGAAAAAUGGUCUCGACAAAAAUCCAUAUGAGUUAGCCAAAGAAUUACCUGAAGUCGAUGAAGAAGUAGUAGCCUUACUACAAACAAAAUUCGGGCAAUUAAACAUCGUCUCGAAUGAGGUUUCAAGAAAAAUACAAGGCAAAAAUCUUACCCACAGUAAAAAACAACUAGGUUUCGACAAAAGAGAGGGCACUGCUAGUGGUAUCGACGGUCAGUUUUACGAAUCAAAAAUAUUAAGUCUUAUAUUAUUUCGAUGCCUUACUGAUGCGACAAUCGAGUACUUUUAUUUGGGUACGAAUGUUAAUAAUGUAGGAGCACUGGAUGACGUCUGCUUGAGAUAUAAAAUAUAUGGAGAGUCAAAGGACAGAAUGCUCUUCAUGCAAGCUAAACAUAGACAACAAGACGGCAUAGCAAAAAAAGUAAUAACUUUAGACGAUUUAAAAAACUCCAAUGAUUAUAAGCUUAUUAAAUAUUUUGAGAGUUAUGAACAAAUCAAAAACAAAUUCAAAAGUAACAAAGAUGACAUCAUGUUCAAAGGCUCCUACGAGGACGUAGAUUGUGAUUUUGUACUAUUCACGCCUUCUGACAAUAUUAUUGAAAGAAAACAUAAAGCAGAAAACUCUAUUUUGCGGGGCCACCGAUUCGAAAAACUUUUUUGCUCUCGUAAAAAUAUAACAUUUAGCAACACAAACGAAAAUUUUCAAAUAAGCGAUGUAGCAUUACUUCAAAAUUUAAUUAUAUUUAAGCACGUUGAAGCUUUAGGUGAAUUAUUAAAGGCUUUUAUCUUGACUGACAAUGAGAAAACAUAUUCUACUAUGUUGAAAAAGGACAAUAUUGUACAAAAGUACCAUGCCCUUUUGACACAAAAAGUAAUCCAUGUAGGUGCUAUUGAACAAAAAAUACUUGAAGAAAAAAAACCUAACUUAACAAAUUUUGGUGAAGGAACUUCAUCACAGUCUUCAAUUCAGGAAAGUAAGGUUUCAGGAAAAGAAAUUGAAAAUGCAAAUCUAGUGGAAAAGUAUCGAAAAGGAACUUUCCAUAGCAGCUUCUUUGACGAUGAAGAUGGCUGUAUGCGUUUAUUGAGGGAAAAAUUUUUUGAAAAUAAUAACCCAUCCCAAAAAGGUGAAGAAAAAAAACGAAAAGAUAAAACUAAUAAAAAAAGUUAUGAAACUGAAAUUGAGGAAUUUAAAUUGCAAAAAAAAUCUUUCAAACUUCCUGUAUCGUUCGGGAAGCUCGAUCUGACACUCAAGAAAGGUAAGGAAAAAACCAGAAUAGAAUAUUUAGUACAGACAAUUAUUAUGUUGGCAAAUAUUGCCAAAUAUGAAAAAAAGAAUGUAAUCAGAAUUGAUAAAAAUAUUUUCUGUAAAAACAAAGAAGAAGAAAAACAUGUUAAUAAAGGAUUUAUUGAUAACGAAGGUGGAAUUGCAGGUUUAGUUGGUAAUUUGCUGACUUUUGACAGUGAGACAGAAACUUAUCAAUUUCGCGAUGUAGAAAAAGAAAAUAAAACACAUGAAUUGGAAGCAAAUAGCAAACUUUUUUUAGAAGAACUAAAUAAGCAAUGUAUAGAGCAAUGUGAAGAGAAAUGUAAAGAUCAAUGUAGAGAGCAAUGUGAACAUAAAUUAGAUAUAUAUCAAUUUAGAUUUGACAUUGCCAUAGACGACUUUCCAAAACUUGCUUUUUAUUGUACCGAAGAUGAAAAACUUAAUGCAAAUGAUUUUUUAAAUAAAUAUUGGGUUUUAAGUAAUCAAUGCUCACAGAGUGAAAUAGAAGAUAUUUUAAAAAUGGAAAUUGAGUCUCAAUUGCGCCAAGAAAACAAAAAUCGAUUACUCCGAAUACAAUCACAUGCAAUUUUCUUAAAAUUUCAUGACCAAGUUCAAAAAUGGUGGAUGAAAAAUAAAAAAGCUAAUUAUAAAACCAAGAUGUGUCAAUACUAUGAAAAAGCUAAAAAAGAAAUAGUCGAUAGCCCUAUAUUGUCUGUUUUAAAUUUUAUUAUGUUAAACAGUAUCAAAAAGAAUCUCUUCAAAUUUAAAAGCGAUAUUAUUGAUACAUUAGGGUUACAAAUAUUUAUGAAUGAUCCAAACACAAACGUGUUUAACAUCACUGCAUCUGAAGGUUUUCUAACCAUUAUCAAAUUAGCUCAGUUUUUCGAAAACCACGGAAACACUGCGUUUUUGGACUUUGAAUAUAUUCUGGAAAAUAAGUACUUUGAAGAUAUGAAAUCGGAACUACAAACAACUGAGCUCGACACUUUCAUAUUCCUUCAAAAAAAUCAGCAGAACACCCAAAACCUCUGCCAAGUUAUUGAUAUUGUCAAGGAAAAUAAGAAAAAGAAAUGUUUUCUAGUGACUGAGAAAAAGAUUGUUGAUAUCGUCAAAUCUCAAUGCAAUGUCGAAUGCCUUUGGCAAGACGACAAUAUUUGCGACCUAAAUUCUGUUUGUGAUAGUGAUGAUGUGUCCAAAAAUUGGACUCUUAUUUUUCAAGAAGAAGAAGUCAAAUUUAAUAGAGUUAUAGAAGAAGAAUCAAAGAGAUUAAUUAAUUCUCACAUACUUUUAAAGCUUAUAAAAGGAGAAAAAAUUGAAAUAGGUAAUCCCUUAACAAAUAUAAGAUACAACGAGGUUAAACAAUAUUGCAUUCCUCGUAAUUUAGAUCGCGGUGAAGAAUUUAUGAUUAAAUCUUUUAAAGAUAUCAACGAAAAUGUGGUACUCAUCGUGGCAGAGCCUGGUAUGGGUAAAUCGGUAUUGAUGAACCAACUCGCUAUUCAGACAAAAGAAAUAGAACAUGAAUUUUCUGAUCUCAGUUCGUGGAUACUAUAUGUAAAUUUAAAUGACUACUCGUCUGAAUUUUCAAAGUGGCCUAACGAUAACAUAUCGAAAGAAGAAGCAAUAAGAUUUAUUUGUAAGACUGCUAUAAAUAAACUUUGCACAAACAAUGGAACACAGAAUAUCGACAGAAGAACAAAUGAAAUAAAUGCGUUCAAAAUCAAAGUGGAUGCAGGAAAUAAUGUGCAAGUAGAAAGUUUCAUUAAGGACCCACUAGUCUCGUUUGAGUUGCGCCUGUUCAUAGAUUAUUUAAACAGGGGAAAUCUAAUAAUGAUAUUUGAUGGGUUUGAUGAAAUCUGUCCACAAUAUGAAAAGAAAGUAAUAUGUUUACUAAAACAUCUUACAAGAACCUUUCAUCUACCAUAUUGUGAGUUGUUACAACCAUUUGAUCCUAUGAUCAAUGUUAAAAACGUUAUAUCUUUGCUACAAAAAACAGAACCAUCAACUUCGAAGACCUGUAAUUGUCCUCGAAUGGGUGCAAACCAGAACCGCAUAUGGGUAACUACACGAUCAUACAAUCAUAUCAAAAACGUUCUAGAAACGGAGCUGGGAAGAACUGGAUUUACACUUCGCCCACUUUCGAAGCAUGAACAGACCAUUUAUUUAAUGAAAUAUUUUGAAAUACACUUUCGAAUAUCGGACUUGAAAAAAGAAGAAAUAGACAACCUGAACAUCUUUUUCGAUUAUAUGCUUAAUAGACUAUCUGAUGAAAGCCGACACAUAACAAUGGUAAGUGUCCCUCUGUACACUGUUUAUGUCACACUAGUGAGCUUUUUUCAUAACAAAUUUUCUGCAAAUCCAUUAAAUUGUUACUCAGAUGAUGAAGUGAGAGAUUUGAAAAAUAAAUGUGCUGAUGUUUACUCAGUUUUGACUAGUUAUGGACCAGUUUUCGAACGACAGUCAAAUGUUCGUGCACUUACUGCAGUAUCAGAAAAUCCACUUCACCUAUACAUGGCAGCGGAAUAUUUUUACAGCCAAAUCAAAUACAAUGAGAGUGAAGACCAAGGUUAUGAUAAAUGGGAUAUUAACACAGAAUCGUUCAAUUUAUUCAAGAAAUUCCUUGACAUCAAAUUCAAAAAAAUACUUUUUGAACAAAAAAACUAUGUGGAUCCAAGCAAGUCUGCUAUCGAAGAGACUUUGGAAAAUCAAAGGUUAAAAUUUGUUGAAGACCAUAAAAAAAUGGCCCUGUGCGCAAUAUUUAACCGUAUCGAUUUGGAACGGUUACUACCUGAAAGUGUUUUAGACGAUAUAGACAAAAUCAUGAUACAAAUAAACACUGGGAAGGAAAAAACUGGUAUCAUAGUAACAGUCAUCGAUAAAGUUCCAAGAUUUGUACAUUUAGUCUUUGCAGAAUAUUUUGCUAUCGAGUAUAUAUGUGAUUUGCUAAUUAAAAGUUCGAAUUCUGAAAUGGGUAGUCCUGAUAUAGAAGAACUAUGGCGUUUUAUAAUGAAUAUAGUGCUAUACAAAGCUAGUGGGGGCGUCCGUACAUUCUUUGAUCAUAAACUAAGAAACGAUUCUGGGUUUAUGAAUGUAAUAAAUUCAGAGCAAAAUAAAAAGAUAGUUUUCAAAUCAUUCAUACAACAGGGGAAAGAAAACCAAGUAGUUCCGGAAGGUUUUAAUUUUUCAAUUCUCAAAACAUCCCUGAAUAUUGCUGUUGAGGAAAAUUUAUUAGAUAUACAAAAUUAUAUAUUUGAGUGUAUUCAAUGUAAUUUGAAUGAAGAGAAUAUUGAUGAAUUUACGGAACUCACAUCCAAUAGUUUACUUCUUUUCAGUGCCCUUGGAUCUAACAACGAUGACCUAAUACAUAGAUUUAAACAAUGCUUAAAUAAUAUAUGGGAUGAUGAUGAUGAUAAGUUUAUUGACUUUGUUUUUCCGGCGUUUGUAAGGAAAAUACUUCCAUUCAAAAUAAAUCUACAAAAUUUCAUGUCUAUAUGGAGAAUGGUGCAACGCAUGAUACCCCAACUUGCUGACGUGGACAUCGAUACAGCAACUGAAAUUACGCCAAAUAUGAGAAGUGCUCUCUCAGAUUACAUAAAAUUAUUUUGGGAACUGGUUACUGAUACAUAUAACUCUCAAAGUUAGAAUUGAAAAAGUAAAUAAAAGCUUGUAAAAAGAGAGAUUUUAUGCCGAAAACAAAUAUUAUGACCAAAUUAAUUAAUGCUUAAUUAUUAUACAGUGGCCCCGGGCAAGUAGUGAUAAAAUUUCUAUAGAAAAUUUUAUUGUGAUUUUGAUUGAUGACUAAUGAAGUAUAAUAUUAUGUAGAUAUAAGAAUAGAUGUUCUCAUUUAUUUUUCCUAGACAUACAAAUAUACUAUCUCGCUGAAAUGUAACUCUCCUUCGCACUCACCCACACUCCUCCCCGCGUUCGUCCCGUCGCGUCUGUACCAUCAACGUGACGUCACGGCUGCCUGGUGCGCAGUUAACUUAAUUGGGUUGUAAUUUUUUACCGAUAAUUUAAGGGUAAACUUAGUAUUUGUUAUUAACCCUUAUCGCUAAGUUCUCGGAAUAAAACGAUUAAUUAUUAUUGUUAUAAUAACAAAUUAUUUAAUAAGAACAAACUAAUUAUAUUGAUUUUAAUGUUAAUUAUUAUACAUGUAUGAAUGUUAUAUUGAUUUAUAUCGAUAAUAGCCUAUCUACAUUAUUAUAUUAAAAAAUAUUAUUAUGA